UACGUAGGGUGCGAGCGUUGUCCGGAAUUAUUGGGCGUAAAGAGCUUGUAGGUGGUUUGUCGCGUCUGCUGUGAAAAUCCGAGGCUCAACCUCGGACUUGCAGUGGGUACGGGCAGACUAGAGUGUGGUAGGGGAGACUGGAAUUCCUGGUGUAGCGGUGAAAUGCGCAGAUAUCAGGAGGAACACCGGUGGCGAAGGCGGCAUCCUGGACCGGCACUGACGCUGAGGAGCGAAAGCCAGGGGAGCAAACGGG
rnacentral:rRNA from 1 species